CUUCAUCCUCACUGCUGAAGAAAAUGAAAAGAGAACAUAUGAACAACAUCUAGAUGAACUAUUGACCUUUGAGGACUUAAUUGAGGGGUUCAGGUUCCAGGGUUUAGGUUCAGUAGAAGACAGUAGUGAUGACUAACAGGAGGAUCCUCUACCUUCAUGUUUCAUCUAAAGUAUGUCCUUUAGUGUGUGUGGGUCCAGUGUAAUGCUGUGUGAAGCUAAAGAGGAAUAAUUAGGAGUUUCACAGCCAGAUCACAGGAGGUACCGUCUACAUGAAAGUAGAAACAGAGAGGGAACAGUGACUGUGUGGCAACAAUAAGGUCCUAAUGUUUCUGUCAGCAUCAUUACUGAGUCAGAAUGACUGUUUUCUAACUUUGUUGUCAGUUUUAGUUCAGUGACACAAUCUGACUGCAACAACAUUAUUGUUCUAAGAUGUUUUCAUAUAUAUAGUUUAGUCUGCUGAGGGAAACAGUUUAGAACUGGACCGGAUGCUGAUUCAUCAAACACCUUCAUGGAAAACAGACAUAAACUGGGGUUUAAGUUAAGUACAUUAUGUACUAACUAUACUUUAUUAAUAUUAAUAUAAAACAUAAACAUGAUUACAAUGAAUUCUCUUUGGUAUUUAGCAUCAGUAUUUAUCAGUAAUACAGCCAACUUAGUUAAAAAGAAAAUGAACGCUCUUUGACAGGGAAUGUUUCUGUAUGUAUUUAUUAAUAAAGGUACUUUAUAUGUUUUAGUUAAUAAUAACUUGUCUGACCAGUGAUGGUGGUCCACCUGGACCAGAUUGUUGUCCCAGUCCAGCCUGUCUCUAGUGAACCAUGAAUGUCUUCAAACUGAUCUUCUUUAACUAUCAACUCCAAGAUAAAGAUAUUCUGGAGCCAAGAAAUAGAGCAGAGAUAGUUGGUGAAUUAUUAACUAUCCAAUCUGUCAGAUCUACAUU